rnacentral:tRNA from 1 species
GCCUCUGUAGCUCAGUUGGUUAGAGCGCUGCACUGGAGUCGCAGGGCCGCAGCUUCGAUUUCUGCCAGAGGAC